GCCACAUUUUGAUUUGAAGUUUUCUUGUAUUUUUGUUUUAUGUGCUUUGUUUGGCUUGUAAAGUUUAUUUUAUUACAUGUAAUUUUGUACAACACCAUCGGAGGGCGCUGUUAUGAGGUAGAUGUUAUAAUGAUUAGAAGAAGGAGAAGAAAACACAACGCAUGCUGUAAGCAAAUAAUGAAGAGUCAAAGAAAGCUAAAACUCUAAUUCCUUUUUGUUUUGCACACAGCCAACAAGGUAUGUCAUGUUUCUUUUUGCAUUUUGUUGUGAAUGCACUUUUAUAUUAAGAUUUGUCUUUUAUUUUACACAAAGGUUAAUUGUUGUUUGUCUUUAAUUUAUUUUAGUUUUCACGGUGUCUAUUCAUUAAAGCCAUCUGUUAAAAGAAAACCACUUGUGCCUGGACGUGCAUUAAGGGAAUUAUAGUGAAAACUUGGCUACAUCUGCGCGAGUGGCCAGUGCAUGACGAGGUGGCAGAAGCAAAGAGCCAGCACACUUGUCGGGGCAUGAACAAGCAGCGCGAACAUCAGGCGGAGCUGCAACAAAGAGACAUUCGACACGUGAGGAGCGCAGUUUGAAGAGCAACGUUCAAGAUAAGGCCAAAAGAAGCUUGGACACUCAGCAAGUUUAGAGCUGUCUUAAGUUAAAGGGCAAGUUUGAAGGUUGACCAAGCGAACUGUGAAUGACAGUAAGAUCCUCUUGUUCAUUUGCUUGUAAUGUUGACAGUCAUCUUAGAAGUAUAUGUAACAUUCUCGUUCAUUCAAGUUAAAGGGCCAUAUUGUAAAUUGAAGUUUGUGGCAAAAGUUAUUUUGAGUUGGUUUUAAGGCUGCAAAGUAUUAUAAUUUUAUUGAAGUUAAUUUAAGUUAAAUUUAAUUUACAAUACAAUUAUAAGUUACAUUAAUACAACAAAUAAUUUAUGAUUUUGUUGAUGUCAAAAAGGACAUUAAGCAUUGUUGACGAAUUUAUACAGCUUACUGACAUUUAAAAUGACUGAACCAAAUCAGCCCCUUUUCCAACCUGAGCCUAGCACAGACUCUCAGACUGAUACUGAAGAAGAGGAACUUCCUUGUCCUGAAGUAUCACAAGAACCUGUAUCCCAAUUAAGGAGAAGCAAAAGGGUCAAAACUCUCACAGUAAAGGGAAAAGAAAUGCAGGAUGAAAAGAUUAAAGGUCUUCAGCAAAGAUUUAACUACAUCUUUGAGAAAUGGAGAAUAUGUGCCAAAUCCUCUAAGCAACCAUUGUCACAGUCAGAGCCAUUAAGUGAGGACCUACUUAACGACAUUGUUGGUGAUGUUACAGGCCUUUCUGUAGAUACCCAGCGAGCAUAUAAUGAGCUACGUCAAGUAACAACCCCCGAUUCAGAAACACGUCGCAAAGUAGAUAUAUGUGUGCAGAUCUCCAAGUUCAUCGUAUCUAAAGCAGAAGGUUACAUGCAGGGAAAGAUUGCAGAAGAGGAACAAGAUUGGCCAGAUGUAGGCUCCCUCUUUGAGUCGACUGUCUGUAAAUCACACACCUCUGACCGUUCCAGUAACUCCUCUGUAAAACAUCAAGAAGCUGCGGCAGAGGCAGCUGCAAGCCAAGCUGUUCUAAAGGUGUUAGAAGAACAAGAAAUCGAGCAGAUUGAAAUUGAUAGACUCGAAGCUGAAGUAAGAAGAAAGGCAGUAGAGCAAGAAGCCUUGGUCAAAAAACUUCGCUUAGAAAGAGAAACGGAGGAACUUAAGCUGAGAACGCAAAGAGAAGAGGAUGAAGCUAGGAUUAAAGCUAAACAAGAGGAAGAAUAUGCAGCAUUGCAAAGAUCACUUGAUGAAAGGAAAAGAAGGUUGCAGCACUUAGAAAAGGUAAAAGAUCUACGUGCAGCUCAAGCAAGAAUGCAAGUGUAUGACCAAAUGAGUGUAACAGAGGAGCACAAUGUGGGCAUAACAAGGAUAAUUACGGAAAGCAAAGCCCUCGGACAAGUGCAAGUAAGUGUUCCCCCACAGCAAGAGCACCUUUUCCCACAAGCUGCAACCACCCCUCUGAAUGAUAGUACUGCAGAGCUUGUCAAGUUGCUAGCAGGAGCAUUAAAUGCAAGUAGAAUACCCAUUCCUGAACCAUCAAUGUUUAGUGGAGACCCAUUAAGAUACAAUGAUUGGAAGCUCUCGUUUCACACACUCAUCGACCAAAAGAACAUUCCAGAGAAUGAAAAAAUAUUCUAUCUCCGCAGAUACGUGAGUGGACAAGCUAAGAGUGCACUGGAUGGAUACUUCCUGCUUGGAACUGAAUCUGCCUAUGCUGCUGCAUGGAAAGUACUCGAUGAACGAUACGGGAACCCGUUCUCGAUUGCAAAGGCCUAUAGAGAUAAGCUUCAGACUUGGCCCAAAAUCUCAUCAAAGGACAGCAUUGCGCUCAGAGAUUUUACAGAUUUCUUACGAAGUUGUGAGGCAGCCAUGGUUCAAAUCAAGUCAUUAGAGAUCUUAAAUGACUGUAAUGAGAACAGAAACAUCCUUUCCAAGUUACCAGAUUGGAUCACAGCAUGUUGGAACCGCAAGGUUACUGAAAUUGAAGAAGAGACAAACCAGUUUCCCACAUUCAGUCAAUUUGUCUCGUUCCUAACAAGGGAAGCAAAGAUUGCUUGUAACCCUGUUACAUCACUGCAGUCACUGAAACAACGUGAAGCUGACAGUUUAGAAAAAUUUAAACUUCCAAGACAAAGAAACAUUGGAGUUAAAACAUUGGCUACAACUUCUCAAGAGAAGACAGCCUUUACAUGUUUGUUCUGCAAAAAGACCAAACAUACUCUUCCGAAAUGCAGAAGGUUUCUUGAAAAGGCAGUAACUGAAAGGGUAAAGUUUAUUCAAGGAGAAAAACUAUGCUUUGGAUGUCUUAAGCCAGGUCAUUACUCGAAAAGCUGUAGCAACAGAAAGGUUUGUGAAAGGUGCAAUAAAGGGCAUCCUACCUGUCUACACGAAGAACGUAGCAAAGAGGAGCAAAAAACGCCACAAGAUGAAACAAACUCAAGCAAUGAAAGACCAAGUCAAAAGAAUCAAGCUCAAACUGAACAAUUAAUUGCCAUAGCUACGACAAACAGAGUCAUACGUCAAAAAGGUAACAUGCAAACAGCAGCAAUAAUUCCUGUUUGGCUUUCAUCUAAGUUGCAACCAUCACAAGAAAUUCUCACAUACGCCUUGUUGGACACUCAAAGUGAUACAACAUUUGUUCUCAGUGAAGUUGCAGGAACUCUAGAUGUCAUUAAAGAACCAGUCAAGCUAGAGUUGUCUACUAUGACAUCAAAAACCACAGUCAUUCAGUCUCAAAGACUUAAAGGUCUACAAGUGCGUGGCUUCUACUCAAACCAAAGGAUAAGUCUACCUUCAACGUUCACACGAGAGUUUAUCCCAGCUAACCAAGACCACAUUCCAACAAGUGAGACAGCAAAGGCUUGGUCACAUCUGAAACAUCUGCAAGCAGAAAUAGCUCCUUUGCAGGAAUGUGUAGUAGGUCUGUUAAUUGGAUAUAACUGCUCACAAGCGCUACUCCCCAGAGAAAUCGUGUCAGGUAAAGAUGACGAACCAUACGCUCAGCGCACGGAUCUCGGCUGGAGCAUAGUUGGACAAAGCAAUCCAUGCCUGAACUAUGGAGAUGCCAUCGGAGUCAGCCAUCGCAUCAUCGUGAGGAAGGUUAUCCCAGAUCUCAGCCCUUCUAAUGAUCUGCUGAGUGAAGUUUACUAUGUAAACAGGACUAAAGUAAGAGAUGUCACUCCCUCAGAGAUUAUUAAAGCACUUGAGUUAGAUUUCUCAGAAAAGGCCAGUGAUGACAAUCAUGUCUCUCAAGAUGACUUGAAGUUUCUUACGCAACUCAGAGAAGGCAUCAAGCUGAAUGAAAGCAGUCACUAUGAAAUGCCACUACCAUUCCGUGACAAAAGACCCAAAUUACCGAACAACAAAGUAAGUGCAUCUCAUCGCUUGAUGUGCCUGGAGAGAAGACUAAGGAAGGACAAAGCGUACUACAAUGACUACAGCAAGUUUAUGGAUGAUAUAAUCUCUCGGGGUGAUGCAGAAAAGAUCCCUGAAGAACAGUUAGACAACAGUCCAGCAUGGUAUAUCCCACACCAUGGGGUCUAUCAUCCACACAAACCAGGGAAAAUCCGAAUAGUAUUUGACUGUUCGGCCAAGUAUCAAGACACAUCCCUCAAUGACCAUCUGUUAACUGGUCCGGACUUAACAAACACAUUGGUGGGCGUUCUUUGUCGCUUUCGUAAAGGGUCGGUCGCAUUUACUUGCGACAUUGAGCGAAUGUUUCACCAAUUUCAUGUGAAAAGAGAAGACCAAGAUUACCUCCGCUUUUUAUGGUGGGAGCAAGGUAACCUGGACACAACACCAUCAGUCUACCGGAUGAAGGUUCACUUGUUUGGAGCGGCUUCUUCUCCUGGCUGCGCCAACUUUGGCUUGAAACACCUAGCAGCACAAGGACAAGGUCGGUUCAAGGAGAAUGUCAUUCGCUUCAUCCAGAAAAAUUUCUAUGUUGAUGACGGCUUAGCAAGUGUGUCGACUGAAAGUGAAGCUAUCCAACUGGUGAGAGACUCAAGAGAGCUAUGCGCUACAGGGAAAUUAAGACUCCACAAAUUCGUGUCAAACAGCGAAAGAGUAAUGACAACCAUUCCAGAAGAAGAACGUGCAACAGUCAAAGACCUAGACAUGUCUCUGAGUUUGCCACAAAUUGAAAGAGCUCUGGGAGUUGAAUGGUGCAUUACAUCAGAUACGUUCAAGUUCAGAGUCCAAGUCAAAGCUAAUGCGUUAACAAGAAGAGGUGUUCUUUCCACCGUUGCCUCAAUCUAUGAUCCCCUAGGCUUCAUAGCACCGUUUGUACUCUUAGGCAAGCAGAUUCUCCAGCAAAUGUGUCAAGAUAAACUGGAUUGGGAUGAAGGCCUUCCAGAGCAUCUGAAGCCUCGGUGGGAGUCAUGGAUUCAAGAUCUUCCAAGAUUAGCUAAUGUACAAAUCAAAAGAUGUUUCAUUCCCCCAGAGUUUGGACAAAUCAGAAGCUACGAGCUUCACCAUUUCGCAGACGCCAGCGUCUCAGGAUAUGGCGAAUGUACUUACCUGCGAGUCACUAACCAACAAGAUGAAGUCCACUGUUGCUUACUAAUGGGCAAGUCAAGAGUAACACCCAAAAGGGUUCUGACUAUUCCAAGACUUGAGCUUUCGGCAGCAGUCGUUGCUGUAAGAGUUAGUGAUCUGCUACGAGCUGAAUUGGAAAUCCAAGACCUACAAGAGUUCUUUUGGACGGAUUCCACAGUUGUUCUUGGCUACAUAAAUAACGAUGCCAGAAGAUUUCAGGUGUUUGUAGCUAAUCGUGUGCAAAGAAUCAAGUAUAGUACAACAGCAGAACAAUGGGCUUACAUUGCUUCAGAAGAUAAUCCUGCGGAUCACGCUUCCCGUGGUUCGACUGCGGAACAAUUGAAGUCAUCCAACUGGUUCACAGGACCGAAGUUUCUUUGGAAAAAGGGACUACCGGAAAGAAAUAUAGUGGUGGGAGAGAUCAAGGGAGAUGAUCCAGAACUACGCAAAGCCUUUGUAUGUAACAUCAACGCGAAGGAAGAGGGAACAUUGCUAGAUCGUUUCGAGAAGUUUUCAGAUUGGUCCAGAUUGGUCAGAGCGCUGGCAGCGUUAAAAAGAAAGAUUAAAGAAUACAAAGGUCUGACACAAAGCACCAAAGACAGCACAAGUUUGGAAGAAAGGAAGGAAGCUGAACUAUUAAUCAUUAAGCUUGUUCAAGCAAAAGCUUUCUCAAAUGAGAUACAGACUUUGAAAACGAAGAAAGCAGUUGCGAAAACCAAAAAUUGCAAGCUGUACAAAUUAAAUCCAUUUUUGGAUGACGAAGGAAUACUCAGAGUCGGAGGACGUUUGAGCCAUGCAGCACUCCAUCCACAUGUCAAACAUCCAGCGAUAAUACCAAAAGACAGUCAUGUUUCUAUACUACUUAUCAGACACUUCCAUGCCAAAAUUCAGCAUCAAGGACGUGGAAUGACGACCAACGAACUGCGAGCUAAUGGAUGGUGGAUCCUCGGAUGCAGCAGUGCAGUCUCGUCUCACAUUUUCAAAUGUGUUAAAUGUCGGAAGUACAGGAGAAGUACUGAAGUACAGAAGAUGGGAGAUCUACCUUCUGACAGGACAGAACCAACUCCACCUUUCACUUAUGUUGGAAUGGAUUGUUUCGGACCAAUUUAUGUUAAGGAUGGACGUAGAGAGCUUAAGCGAUACGGACUUGUACUAACCUGUCUAUGUUCGCGAGCUGUCCACAUAGAAGUGGUAGAUGACCUAAGUACAGACUCGUUUAUGAAUGCUCUGCGAGCGUUUAUUGCUAUUAGAGGAAAUGUUCGUCAGCUGAGAUGCGACAAAGGAACCAAUUUUGUUGGCGCUCAAAGAGAAUUUGCAAAUCUCAUGAAAGACAUGGAUCAAGAAAGGAUCAAAGCGUUCGGAUGUGAAUUCCUUAUGAAUCCUCCAUCAGCCAGUCAUAUGGGAGGUGUUUGGGAAAGACAGAUAAGAACUAUAAGGAGUGUUCUUUCUGCUGUCUUAGACCAGUCGGCAAAAAGACUAGACCCUACCUCAUUAAGAACGUUCUUGUACGAGGUUAUGGCGAUCAUUAACAGCAGACCACUUUCUGCGGAACAUCUGAAUGAUCCCACUGGACCCGAACCAUUAACACCUAAUCAUAUUCUAACCAUGAAGUCUACCAUUGUCCAACCUCCGCCAGGGCAGUUCUUGAAGGAAGAUCUGUUUCUUCAAAGGAGAUGGCGAAGAGUACAGUACUUGGUUAACGAAUUUUGGACCAGAUGGAGGAAGGAGUACUUACUCAACUUACAACCAAGACAAAAAUGGCAAGCCCUCAGAAGGGACUUGAAGGUUAAUGAUAUUGUCCUGCUUCAAGAUGAUCUUGCUCCACGUAACGAAUGGAGGAUUGCAAGAGUUACAGAUGUCUACCCUGGGGCAGAUAAUAAAGUGAGAAAGGUUAGACUCUUAGUUGGUGUGAACACAUUGGACAAGCACUGUAAACAUACGACUAAAGCAGUUUCACUUGACCGACCUGUACAUAAGGUUAUUGUUUUACUUGAAGCAGAGUAAUCUUAAGUUUGUUUGCAUUUAUAUUUAAGUGUCAGUUUAGUUUGGAAAUCUCACACAAAGGUUGUGAUAUUUGGUGGGAGUGUAACUGCCACAUUUUGAUUUGAAGUUUUCUUGUAUUUUUGUUUUAUGUGCUUUGUUUGGCUUGUAAAGUUUAUUUUAUUACAUGUAAUUUUGUACAACACCAUCGGAGGGCGCUGUUAUGAGGUAGAUGUUAUAAUGAUUAGAAGAAGGAGAAGAAAACACAACGCAUGCUGUAAGCAAAUAAUGAAGAGUCAAAGAAAGCUAAAACUCUAAUUCCUUUUUGUUUUGCACACAGCCAACAAGUUUUCACGGUGUCUAUUCAUUAAAGCCAUCUGUUAAAAGAAAACCACUUGUGCCUGGACGUGCAUUAAGGGAAUUAUAGUCC